CAGUAGCCACGGGAAUACAGAGGGUGCGAGCGUUAAUCGGAUUUACUGGGCGUAAAGCGUGCGUAGGCGGCUUCUUAAGUCGGAUGUGAAAUCCCUGAGCUUAACUUAGGAAUUGCAUUCGAUACUGGGAAGCUAGAGUAUGGGAGAGGAUGGUAGAAUUCCAAGUGUAGCGGUGAAAUGCGUAGAGAUCUGGAGGAAUACCGAUGGCGAAGGCAGCCAUCUGGCCUAAUACUGACGCUGAGGUACGAAAGCAUGGGGAGCAAACAGGAUUAGAUACCCCCGUAGUCCCUGUCUCUUAUAA
rnacentral:rRNA from 1 species